rnacentral:rRNA from 1 species
GACGAACGCUGGCGGCGUGCUUAACACAUGCAAGUCGUACGAUGACCCGGCUCUUCGGAGCUGGUGAUUAGUGGCGAACGGGUGAGUAACACGUGGGUGACCUGCCCUGCACUCUGGGAUAAGCCCGGGAAACUGGGUCUAAUACUGGAUACGACCAGUGGCCGCAUGGUCUGCUGGUGGAAAGCCCUUCGGGGUGGUGUGGGAUGGGCCCGCGGCCUAUCAGCUUGUUGGUGGGGUGAUGGCCUACCAAGGCGACGACGGGUAGCCGGCCUGAGAGGGUGUCCGGCCACACUGGGACUGAGACACGGCCCAGACUCCUACGGGAGGCAGCAGUGGGGAAUCUUGCACAAUGGGCGAAAGCCUGAUGCAGCGACGCCGCGUGAGGGAUGACGGCCUUCGGGUGGUAAACCUCUUUCGGCAGGGAACAAGCCUGGGGGGUUUCUUCUGGGUGAGGGUACCUGCGGAAGAAGCACCGGCUAACUACGUG